GAGAUACAAUAAAAACAGAAAAAUGGCGACAGUCACGUUGUGGCGACUCUGCGCUGCGUCAUUAGAUAAUCUUCGCGCAAAGAAAGCUAAGGAACAAAGACGAAGAGAGCGCGGGGGGCAAAAGCAGCGCGUCCGGAAAGACUCCUGGCCCGGUUCCUUUCUAGUCAAGUGAUUGUAAAUAUAGCUCGGGUGUUGUUUACAUGAAACCGUCCAGGGGGAGGAGCGCGGAGAGGAGGAAGAGGAAGGCGGAGGAGGCUUCCCAGGCUGGCAGGGGCAGUGAAGAACUGCAGCAGUGAAAGAUGCCUUAUGCCCUUUUCUGAGAAAUGCAACUCCUAAUGUUGCCAGCCUCAAGUCUGUAAGUAUUUCUCUGUGGGCUUGUUUAUUUGGGCUAUGAGGCUUUGAUGGAAAAGAAAAUACUAGGAUUGAAUAUCAACUAUGACUGAGAGUAAUAAGGUGCUUGUGAGAUGAAUGUGUUGAAUUAUAUAUUUGUUCAGUGGUCUUGACAAGCGAAGUAUCAUUUGGGGUGGAUGAGACUUCUGUCUCUCACAGAAUUCUUAAGCAAAUAUUUAAAAUAAUGUAGUUGGAGAGAGUGGUAUAUUUAAAAGCAGAAGCUGGCAAGAAGUCUGUACAAUAAUGUUUUGCAGAUAGAAGGUGCAGUUGAGAUUUGCAAUGUGAUGUCUCUAUGAUUUUGAUAUUUAUCGAUUUUUGUAUGUUUUGCUUUUUAUCUGCAAAUAGUGGUCUUUUUAAUUCUGCAGUCUAAUGUGUACUUCUUUUAAAGUAUUUCUAAAUAAGCAUGUUAGGUUUGGCUUGUACAGAGUGGAUCUUAAAUGGUUAAGAUGUAACCCCAUGGUUAUAGUCUUUCCAAAAAUGUUUUUUAUCUCCAGCAACUGUUGCCUAGAAAGGAAAGGGCAGAAA